rnacentral:rRNA from 1 species
CCUACGGGUGGCAGCAGUGAGGAAUAUUGGUCAAUGGGCUUACGCCUGAACCAGCCAAGUAGCGUGAAGGAAGACUGCCCUAUGGGUUGUAAACCUCUUUUGUCAGGGAGUAACGCCGGCUACGUGUAGCUGGUCUGAGGGUACCUGUAGAAAAGCAUCGGCUAACUCCGUGCCAGCAGCCGCGGUAAUACGGAGGAUGCGAGCGUUAUCCGGAUUUAUUGGGUUUAAAGGGAGCGUAGGCGGAAUGUUAAGUCAGUUGUGAAAUGUUGCGGCUCAACCCUAGAACUGCAGUUGAUACUGGCGGUCUUGAGUGGGCGAGAGGUAUGCGGAAUGCGUGGUGUAUCGGUGAAAUGCUUAGAUAUCACGAAGAACUCCGAUUGCGAAGGCAGCAUAC